UACGUAGGAUGCAAGCGUUGUCCGGAUUUAUUGGGUUUAAAGGGUGCGUAGGCGGCCUAUUAAGUUAGUGGAGAAAACGUUCGGCUUAACCGAAUACCCGCCAUUGAUACUGAUAGACUUGAGUGCGACAGAGGGUGUUGGAAUGUGUGGUGUAGCGGUGAAAUGCUUAGAUAUCACGCAGAACACCAAUUGCGAAGGCAGAUGCCUAUGUCGUAACUGACGCUGAGGCCUGAAAGCGUGGGGAGCAAACAGG
rnacentral:rRNA from 1 species